GUCGAAAACAGUAUUUCUACCUCGAAGGUGGUGUAAGUUAAGGUGUGCGUAUACUCUACCCUCCCUAGACAUCGAUCAUGGGAUUACAGUAGGUAUGUUGAUUGAUUGAUUUUGAUUUUAGUAAAUUGCUUGAGUGGAGAGUCUUUUGGAAACUGUAAAGGCAAGGUAAGGUAUGCAUACACUUUAUUAUGCUCCUUAAGACCCCACGAGUGGGA
rnacentral:misc_RNA from 1 species